UACAGAGGUCUCAAGCGUUGUUCGGAUUCAUUGGGCGUAAAGGGUGCGUAGGCGGCGCGGUAAGUCGGGUGUGAAAUCUUGGAGCUUAACUCCGAAACUGCAUUCGAUACUGCCGUGCUUGAGGACUGGAGAGGAGACUGGAAUACUUGGUGUAGCAGUGAAAUGCGUAGAUAUCAAGUGGAACACCAGUGGCGAAGGCGAGUCUCUGGACAUUUCCUGACGCUGAGGCACGAAAGCCAGGGGAGCAAACGGG
rnacentral:rRNA from 1 species